UACAACUUUCAGCAACGGAUCUCUUGGCUCUCGCAUCGAUGAAGAACGCAGCGAAAUGCGAUAAGUAAUGUGAAUUGCAGAAUUCAGUGAAUCAUCGAAUCUUUGAACGCACCUUGCGCUCCUUGGUAUUCCGAGGAGCAUGCCUGUUUGAGUGUCAUUAAUUUCUCAACCUC
rnacentral:rRNA from 1 species